GCCGGCUGUGUCGGUCUGUGUGCAGGUCCAUGGACUCUGAGAGGGGAAGCCGGAUGUGUCGGUCUGUGUAUGGGUCCGUGGACUCUGAGAUGAGGAAGCCGGCUGUGUCCGUCUGUGUGCAGGUCCAUGGACUCUGAGAUGGGGAAGCCGGCUGUGUCCUUCUGUGUGCGGGUCCAUGGACUCUGAGAUGAGGAAGCCGGCUAUGUUGGUCUGUGUGCGGGUCCAUGGACUCUGAGAUGAGGAAGCCGGCUAUGUCGGUCUGUGUGCGGGUCCAUGGACUCUGAGAUGGGGAAGCCGGAUAUGUCGGUCUGUGUAUGGGUCCAUGGACUCUGAGAUGAGGAAGCCGGCUGUGUCGGUCUGUGUAUGGGUCCAUGCACUCUGAGAUGGGGAAGCCGGCUGUGUCGAUCUGUGUAUGGGUCCAUGCACUCUGAGAUGAGGAAGCCGGCUGUGUCGGUCUGUGUGCAGGUCCAUGGACUCUGAGAUGGGGAAGCUGGCUGUGUCAGUCUGUGUAUGGGUCCAUGGACUCUGAGAUGAGGAAGCCGGCUGUGUCGGUCUGUGUGCGGGUCCAUGGACUCUGAGAUGAGGAAGCCGGCUGUGUCCUUCUGUGUGCGGGUCCAUGGACUCUGAGAUGAGGAAGCCGGCUGUGUCCGUCUGUGUAUGGGUCCAUGGACUCUGAGAUGAGGAAGCCGGCUGUGUCUGUCUGUGUAUGGGUCCAUGGACUCUGAGAUGAGGAAGCCGGCUGUGUCCGUCUGUGUGCAGGUCCAUGGACUCUGAGAUGAGGAAGCCGGCUGUGUCCUUCUGUGUGCGGGUCCAUGGACUCUGAGAUGAGGAAGCCGGCUGUGUCCUUCUGUGUGCGGGUCCAUGGACUCUGAGAUGAGGAAGCCGGCUGUGUCGGUCUGUGUGCGGGUCCAUGGACUCUGAGAUGAGGAAGCCGGCUGUGUCGGUCUGUGUAUGGGUCCAUGCACUCUGAGAUGAGGAAGCCAGCUGUGUCGGUCUGUGUGCGGGUCCAUGCACUCUGAGAUGAGGAAGCCGGCUGUGUCGGUCUGUGUGCGGGUCCAUGGACUCUGAGAUGAGGAAGCCGGCUGUGUCUGUCUGUGUAUGGGUCCAUGGACUCUGAGAUGGGGAAGCCGGCUGUGUCCUGUGUGCGGGUCCAUGGACUCUGAAAUGAGGAAGCCGGCUGUGUCCGUCUGUGUGCAGGUCCAUGGACUCUGAGAUGGGGAAGCCGGCUGUGUCGGUCUGUGUGCAGGUCCAUGUACUCUGAGAUGAGGAAGCCGGCUGUGUCAUUCUG
rnacentral:lncRNA from 1 species